UAAAGCUGUAGCGAGCAAUGUGUGCUGGUGUUUGCUCCCUGUCUGCUCUGGCUAAUGAGUACCAGGAUCCAUGAGCAAUUGGACUGUUGUUUCUCUAGUCAUUGGGUGCCAUAUGGAGUCGGGGUCUAACAGAACCAACUGAAAGCAGAGAAGUGGUCAUUCGUUCUCUACCAGUGUCAGAUUCACGCACAGGCACACAACACCUGGAACCCGGGGUUCCCUUGUUUGUCAUGAUCCGCCUGGGGUUGACAGAGGCAACAUAGACUUGGAAGACAUGGUGUCCACUCUCAUCCAUGGAACAUCCAUGGGUCUGACUGUUGUGUGAGCUCAUGCAUGACCGAUGUGGCAGCACAAGGGGAAAAAAAAAGAAGUGUGGAGUCUAUGUGCUGCAGUCCUGUAAACAGAGCUCCCUGCGACUUGAGGUGCACUCCAUCCCCUGGAAGAAGGAGACUCUAUCCAGAAGCAAGAUUCCACAAAUGACUGGGACAAGGAUGAUGGUUCUGGGAUCAAAACAUGGGGUUGCAGAUUCCAGGGAGCCAGGGG